GCUCCUAUCGUCUAGUGGCCUAGGACACAGCGUUCUCAACGCUGGAACCGGGGUUCGAUUCCCCGUGGGAGCA
rfam:Parcubacteria (Jorgensenbacteria) bacterium GW2011_GWB1_50_10 TY55_C0002, whole genome shotgun sequence.